UACGGAGGGUGCAAGCGUUAAUCGGAAUUACUGGGCGUAAAGCGUGCGCAGGCGGUUUUGUAAGACAGAGGUGAAAUCCCCGGGGCUCAACCUGGGAACUGCCUUUGUGACUGCAAGGCUAGAGUACGGCAGAGGGGGGUGGAAUUCCGCGUGUAGCAGUGAAAUGCGUAGAUAUGCGGAGGAACACCGAUGGCGAAGGCAACCCCCUGGGCCUGUACUGACGCUCAUGCACGAAAGCGUGGGGAGCAAACAGG
rnacentral:rRNA from 1 species